UCUGCGUUGCAAGGAAAAAGCUAAUUGUCCGGCCCGGCUGAUUUCCCACCGGGCAGGGAGAGCUGCUAACAGCUUCUCGAGCGGCUCAGUUCCAAACAGGAAGGAGACAGUGCCACCUCAUAACCCCCUGGUUAUAAGCUCUGCCCCUCGUGGGGGGCACCAAGCUCCCGGGGACCCCCAGGUGACAGUCCCUGCCCUUGCAGGCUCCUGUGUGCUGUGACAGGAAGAAGCAAUUGCAGCCUGUGACAUGUGCACUAAUGGUAUGCCGGCUCACCUUUGGACUCCGUUCUAGGACUGUGCUUCCCAGUGAGCGGG